AACAGGAUUAGAUACCCUGGUAGUCCACGCCGUAAACGAUGUCGACUUGGAGGUUGUGCCCUUGAGGCGUGGCUUCCGGAGCUAACGCGUUAAGUCGACCGCCUGGGGAGUACGGCCGCAAGGUUAAAACCCAAAUGAAUUGACGGGGGCCCGCACAAGCGGUGGAGCAUGUGGUUUAAUUCGAUGCAACGCGAAGAACCUUACCUACUCUUGACAUCCAGAGAACUUAGCAGAGAUGCUUUGGUGCCUUCGGGAACUCUGAGACAGGUGCUGCAUGGCUGUCGUCAGCUCGUGUUGUGAAAUGUUGGGUUAAGUCCCGCAACGAGCGCAACCCUUAUCCUUUGUUGCCAGCGGUUAGGCCGGGAACUCAAAGGAGACUGCCAGUGAUAAACUGGAGGAAGGUGGGGAUGACGUCAAGUCAUCAUGGCCCUUACGAGUAGGGCUACACACGUGCUACAAUGGCGCAUACAAAGAGAAGCGACCUCGCGAGAGCAAGCGGACCUCAUAAAGUGCGUCGUAGUCCGGAUUGGAGCCUGCAACUCGACUCCAUGAAGUCGGAAUCGCUAGUAAUCGUGGAUCAGAAUGCCACGGUGAAUACGUUCCCGGGCCUUGUACACACCGCCCGUCACACCAUGGGAGUGGGUUGCAAAGAAGUAGGUAGCUUAACCUUCGGGAGGGCGCUUACCACUUUGUGAUUCAUGACUGGGGUGAAGUCGUAACAAGGUAACC
rnacentral:rRNA from 1 species